CCUACGGGGGGCAGCAGUGGGGAAUAUUGCACAAUGGGGGAAACCCUGAUGCAGCGACGCCGCGUGAGUGAAGAAGUAUUUCGGUAUGUAAAGCUCUUUCAGCAGGGAAGAAAAUGACGGUACCUGACCAAUAAGCCCCGGCUAACCCCGUGCCAGCAGCCGCGGUAAUACGGAGGAUGCGAGCGUUAUCCGGAUUAAUUGGGUUUAAGGGGUGCGUAGGCGGAUUUUAAAGUCAGCGGUAAAAUGUUCGGGGUCACCCCGGGCCGGCAGUUGAAACUGGGGAUCUUGAGUACGGGAGAAGUAUGCGGAAUGCGUGGUGUAGCGGUGAAAUGCAUAGAUAUCACGCAGAACUCCGAUUGCGAAGGCAGCAUACCGGCGCCCGACUGACACUGAGGCACGAAAGCGUGGGGAUCGAACAGGAUUAGAUACCCGGGUAGUC
rnacentral:rRNA from 1 species